AAAUAAGAGGUGGAAUUGAAAUAGGGAUGAGGAAAAUAUCGUUGCAGCAGCUGCAGCCUGUGGUGUCUGCUGCCAGAUGUGUGAAGGUUCCCGGAGUCCUGGACACUAAAAGGAUGCAUAAAAAUAUUUGGAGACAAAAGCUGCAAACUCAGUGAUCAUUUUCUGUAUUUAACAUGGCAGCAGGCACCGUGUGGAGAAAUCAGUGUGCUGGAUGUUGAACUGGACUUUCCUUCUUUCUAGGAUGAAAGGGGGUGAUCUAUCCCGUUCCAAAAGGGAACUGAGCACAGAAGCGAUGAAUGCUGCAUAAUUAAGUACAGUAUUUAAUUUGGCUGUUGUGAAGCAAAAGAAUAAGGGGAAGGGGAAGAAAGUCUCCAAAACUAACCCAUCGCGGUCAUAUUUUGCUGAGGAUAAAACAAAAUCCCACCUUGCUUUUUAAAAAGCGUACUUCAAGGAUUGGAUUAUCAACCACAACUUUCAAUAAGGUACUCCUCAUAGUUAAUUAUGCUGUUAACUCUAAGUUCUCCUGUCCUCGGUUUCAAGCCUCUGGGUCUUGGUAUGCCUCUGUCUUUGAGAUUGAAAUGAGAUUUGUCUUCCUGUGUAUAUAUUUAUAGACCGUAAUCUAGUUUUAUAUUAUACUACAGAGGUGACAUAUCUUGAUUCUCUCACUUCAGGUCAUGAUUUUUAAUCCUUUGAUGAUUAUACAUACCAGCAUUUAUUUUUCUUACAGUUAGAGAAAUUAGAUGUGGUGAUGUUUCUUUUUAAAACUGAUAUUGAAACUGAUACUAAGUAGUGUCUGUGUUCCUACUUGAGAUUCC
rnacentral:lncRNA from 1 species